AAUAUUGUGCCUGAACAAAAGGAUUAUUUUGAUAGAAUAAAUUAUAUGCAUUGCAUCAAUAUUA
rnacentral:tRNA from 1 species